AUAGUGGAACCCUUUUUGAUGCUAUAUAGAACCUUUUAUUAAUGGUUCUUUAUAGAACAUUAGCACCAUGUUCCAUUUAGAACCUUGAGCAUGGUUCUUCAUAGAACCUCCAAAAAAAGGUUACAUAUAGCACCAAAAGGAAUUUGCUAUGGCAGCGGUUCCCGAACUAGGGGUUUGCAACUGUUCCUAACUCCCCAGGUAAUCAGAGCUCUUUAAGAACCCCCUCCUCUCCUCUCCUGUCUCCCCAGGUAAUCAGAGCUCUUAAGAACCCCCUCCUCUCCUCUCCUGUCUCCCCAGGUAAUCAGAGCUCUUAAGAACCCCCUCCUCUCCUCUCCUGUCUCCCCAGGUAAUCAGAGCUCUUAAGAACCCCCUCCUCUCCUCUCCUGUCUCCCCAGGUAAUCAGAGCUCUUAAGAACCCCUUCCUCUCCUCUCCUGUCUCCCCAGGUAAUCAGAGCUCUUAAGAACCCCUUCCUCUCCUCUCCUGUCUCCCCAGGUAAUCAGAGCUCUUAAGAACCCCUUCCUCUCCUCUCCUGUCUCCCCAGGUAAUCAGAGCUCUUAAGAACCCCUUCCUCUCCUCUCCUGUCUCCCCAGGUAAUCAGAGCUCUUUAAGAAC